rnacentral:rRNA from 1 species
AUGUGCCUCAUCACGCCGGAGGACUGCAACCACCUGUUCGUACACUGCAGAUUCACCCAACAAGUCUGGCUGUUGUUCAGAAAUUGGACACGGACGGCUUUUCAGGUGCCAGCGGAUCGUUUCAGCAGUACUGAAGACUGGUGGCUGCAAGCACGUAAAGAAGUUCCCAAGCCCAUGCGUCGUGAUUUUGACACAAUCGCCAUCUUGAUUCACUGGAGGAUUUGGAAGGAAAAAAUUUCCAGAAUUUUUGAGCAGAAAGCAAGCAAUCCAUUCAGGGUUUUGGAUCUGGUCAGAGAAGAUAUUGGCACAAGGAGGGCGGCGGGCUGUGUUUUAGAAAUCGGCAACCUCCCUUGA